rnacentral:piRNA from 1 species
UCCUUAGGCAACACUCUGUAGAG